AACGUAGGUGGCAAGCGUUAUCCGGAUUUACUGGGCGUAAAGCGUGUGCAGGCGGUCAUGUAAGUGGGGUAUGAAAUCUCCGCGCUUAACGUGGAGGGGUUAUGCCAGACUGCAUGACUAGAACCCAUCAGAGGGAAGUGGAAUUCCGGGUGUAGUGGUGAAAUGUGUAGAGAUCGGGAGGAACACCGGUGGCGAAGGCGGGUCUCUGGGCAAUUCCUGACGCUGAGGCGCGAAAGCGUGGGGAGCAAACGGG
rnacentral:rRNA from 1 species